AGUGAUGAAUUCCCUCAGUUUUUGUCUAAGAAGGUCUUUAUUUAUUCUACAUGUUCAAAGGAUAGUUUUGCAGAACAUAGAGAACGGUCUGUAGUUCAGGGCCUUCUUCUCCACAGAAGCAAUCUUGACUGUCGAUCUCCAAAUUGGCCUGUCUCCCCAGAGUUUUAUAUUGAUGAUAAAACUGGCAGCUUCGGUUAUUGAGCAGAACUUAACAACAUUAAGAACCAGGAAUGAAAGUCUUUGAACUGAGCUGAUAUGCCUUCUUCUUUUACAUGGCUCAGA